GGAGUGCUGUCAGCCUUGCACCUUGCUAUCAAAACCAUCUCCCAGUGCAUCAGUGAGAGUCUUUUCAUUGACCUAAAUGUGGACUGGGUCAGGCCCUUCGUGACCUCUAAGUUAAUUCACACACAGUGCUGAGAAAUAAGGGGAGGUAUCAUGAAGAUAACUGAGGCAAGGAGUCAUAGGCACCAUGAAAGGAAAUCCUGAGGAAGGGUCUAACUUGGGAAGAAGUGGCUGAGAUGGCCUCUUCAGCUUUGAAGUGUCACCCCCAGUGCAGUGCUGGAUUUGAUGUGCUGGAUUUUCAUAUCUUUGUUCAGGAAGUGUUCCCGAACUGACAUGGAUCAACCCAGACUUCAUUACCAGGCAAAAAUAAUCAACUGAUCAGGUAUACAUGAACAACGUUACCAAGAAGACUCCCUCACAUAAAUGAAUUGUACAGGUA